CCCGUCGUCUGCGGCAAAGCUCUGGGCGGCUCGGGGGAGCCUCUGCUGCAGACACCUGCUGCUCCUGCGCAGCCGGCUGGGCCAGGAAGGCCGCUGCGAGGGCGAUUCCAGAACAAGUGACUGCAGCCCAGGGGGCCCCAGGAGGGAAGGCCUCCCCCAGGGUAGGUUGGGGCUGCUGGGCUGCCCACGUCCCACUGCAGACCCGAAGGGCCAGCCCAGAGUCCCCACGGCGGGGCGGGGGUGCAACUCAUUCAUUCAUUCAGUCCGUCAGUCCGUCAGCAAAUGCUCUCUAAUGCUUUCUGUGAACUAGAGGUACAAGCACCCCCAAGGUCCUGCAUCAGGGCAUUCACAGCCUAAUGGGACAAGUGCGUACAUGGAGCCCCCAGGGAGACAAGGCCAGCGAUCCAGGGACUGCACCAGAGUGAGCCCAGCUUGCUGGGGAAACGGCAGGAGGCCUCCAAUCCAGGAGGGCUUCCAGGGGAAGGGUCCUUGAAGAAAGGCCUUAGGGGAAAAGGAACUGGGUUUAUUUAUUUUAGUUUUUUAAAAAAUAUUUUAUUUAUUUAUUAAUGAGAGACAGAGAGAAAGGCAGAGACACAGGCCGAGGGAGAAGCAGGCUCCAUGCAGGGAGCCCGACGCAGGACUCUGGGGUCACGCCCUGGGCUGAAGGAGGUGCUAAACCGUUGAGCCACCCAGGCUGCCCAGGAACUGGCUUUAAAAGCAGUGGAGCGAGGUCUGCAGGCAGAGGGGCAGCCUGUGCCAAUGCCCGGGGGCAUGGACGGCGGGCGGAGGGGGAGACCGCUCCUCUCCCUCGGGGAGGGCCCUGGGUGCAGAGGCAGGGCCUUAGCUCUAACCUGGAGAGCCUCGGGCAGCCUGAAGGGUUGGUUCUAAGUGGGUAGUGACAGGGCCCAGUGAGGACGGACUACACAGGAGGAGACAGGGAGCGGGGAGUCGGGAGGGAAGGUGGGGCCCAGGGCAGGCAAAGGGUGCGGAGGAGGGGCGGGCGCAAGAGCGCCUGGGAGGCCAAGCCUGCAGAGCGAAGGCGAAGGCGGCGGCGACGUGGUGGGACGGGAGCACCGGCCCCGCCAGCACGAGGGCCACCAGCCCAGACGGCGCCGUCAACGUGCUCGAGUCUUUUUCAAAUCCAGCAGCUGCUCGGAUCGCACACGUUCAGGCCCCAGCCUGGGACACGGACGGACUGGCCUGGGAGCCGGCAGGGGUGCGUGAGAACCGGGGGGACAACUGCAGGACCGUCACCGUCCCCUCCGCCGCCCCACCGAGCUUCAGGUGCCCCAGCGUGGACAGAGCCGCUCCCAUCCGCCUCACAGGCCCGCCGGGGUUUCCAGAACAGCGCCCGGUGAUGCCAGCGCGGUGGGAAGGACCCUCCAAAGCUCUCGAACUCAGGACCACGGCAGCCCAGUGCCUCCACUCGGACUGUCGCCUCCCUUCCCUUCCAACAAAGGGGCAAAGCCAAACUGCUGGGCUUGAUGGGGUCCCACCGGCAAGCCCCCCCCCCCCCCCCAGUCCUAGCCCCGUGAGGACAGGACCUGGCCCAGGAGGAUCCCUAGUCCGUCCUCAGGCCCAGCCGGCCUCCCCCGGGAGCCCCAGCCCGAGGGAGGCUGAACUAACAGCCCCCCCACCCCCACCCCGUGCACACGGGAAAGGGAGCAAGUGGGCCUGAGUGUGCAGGGCUCUGCUGAGAGCUCGCUGCCCCGGGGGUGCUCAGGGAGCCCGGGAAGGGGGGAGGGACAGAGACCCUGCUCCCAGCCCCACCGCGGGACGAGCUGCCUGACCUGAGUCACUCUGCCUCUGUGAGUCCCAGUCUCCUGGUCUCCAAGAAUAAAACGCACCCAGAGGGGCCGGCACAUGGCAAUUCUGGACAAGCCACCGACACGGUGACCAGAUUCCUGGCCAGCGCUUUGGCUUUCGCACGUCAAGGCCCAGAGUAAGCGAUGUCGGCCUUGGGCACUUAAGUAAUAAGCCCCUUGGGGGAGGGGAGCCCUGGGAGCCCAGAGGGAGCGUGGCCGUGGAGGGUGUGGGGCCGGCCCCAGGGGCCUCCACCAGAGAGCCUGAGCCCUGGCCCUGGUCACGCACUGAGCCCCCAUCCUGCUCACCUGCUG
rnacentral:lncRNA from 1 species